rnacentral:rRNA from 1 species
GGACUACCGGGGUAUCUAAUCCCGUUCGCUCCCCUGGCUUUCGCGCCUCAGCGUCAGAAGAGGGCCAGCAUGUCGCUUUCGCCACCGGCGUUCCUUCCGAUAUCAACGCAUUUCACCGCUCCACCGGAAGUUCCACAUGCCCCUACCUCCCUCCAGCGCAUCAGUAUCCAAGGCCCUUUUCCGGUUGAGCCGAAAGAUUUCACCCCGGACUGGAUGCGCCGCCUACGCGCCCUUUAAGCCCAGUGAUUCCGAACAACGUUCGCACGGUUCGUCUUACCGCGGCUGCUGGCAC